rnacentral:rRNA from 1 species
GACGAACGCUGGCGGCGUGCUUAACACAUGCAAGUCGAGCGGUAAGGCCCUUUCGGGGGUACGACGAGCGGCGAACGGGUGAGUAACACGUGGGUGACCUGCCCUUACGCUCUGGGAUAAGCCUGGGAAACUGGGUCUAAUACCGGAUAUGACCUCAUGACGCAUGUUGUGGGGUGGAAAGCCUUGUGCGGCUAGGGAUGGGCCCGCGGCCUAUCAGCUUGUUGGUGGGGUGAUGGCCUACCAAGGCGACGACGGGUAGCCGGCCUGAGAGGGCGACCGGCCACACUGGGACUGAGACACGGCCCAGACUCCUACGGGAGGCAGCAGUGGGGAAUCUUGCGCAAUGGGCGAAAGCCUGACGCAGCGACGCCGCGUGAGGGAUGACGGCCUGG